AACGAACGCUGGCGGCAGGCCUAACACAUGCAAGUCGAACGGAUCCUUCGGGAUUAGUGGCGCACGGGUGAGUAACACGUGGGAACGUGCCCUUGGGUACGGAAAAACAGUUGGAAACGACUGCUAAUACCGUAUAAUAUCGAGAGAUCAAAGAUUUAUCGCCCAAGGAUCGGCCCGCGGAAGAUUAGGUAGUUGGUGGGGUAAAAGCCUACCAAGCCUACGAUCUAUAGCUGGUCUUAGAGGAUGAUCAGCCACACUGGAACUGAGACACGGUCCAGACUCCUACGGGAUGCAGCAGUGAGGAAUAUUGGACAAUGGGCGAAAGCCUGAUCCAGCCAUGCCGCGUGAAUGAUGAAGGCCUUAGGGUUGUAAAGUUCUUUUAGCUGUGACGAUAAUGACGGUGGCAGCAGAAAAAGCCCCGGCUAACUCCGUGCCAGCCGCCGCGGUAA
rnacentral:rRNA from 1 species